rnacentral:rRNA from 1 species
GUAAAGUACUUUCAGCGGGGAGGAAGGGAAUAAAGUUAAUACCUUUGCUCAUUGACGUUACCCGCAGAACAAGCACCGGCUAACUCCGUGCCAGCAGCCGCGGUAAUACGGAGGGUGCAAGCGUUAAUCGGAAUUACUGGGCGUAAAGCGCACGCAGGCGGUUUGUUAAGUCAGAUGUGAAAUCCCCGGGCUCAACCUGGGAACUGCAUCUGAUACUGGCAAGCUUGAGUCUCGUAAAGGGGGGUAGAAUUCCAGGUGUAGCGGUGAAAUGCGUAAAGAUCUGGAGGAAUACCGGUGGCGAAGGCGGCCCCCUGGACCAAGACUGACGCUCAGGUGCAAAAGCGUGGGGAGCAAACAGGA